rnacentral:rRNA from 1 species
CAGCCGCCGCGGGAAUACGAAGGGUGCAAGCGUUAAUCGGAAUUACUGGGCAUAAAGCGUGCGUAGGCGGUGAGUUAAGUCUGCUGUGAAAUCCCCGGGCUCAACCUGGGAAUGGCAGUGGAUACUGGCUCGCUAGAGUGUGUCAGAGGAUGGUGGAAUUCCCGGUGUAGCGGUGAAAUGCGUAGAGAUCGGGAGGAACAUCAGUGGCGAAGGCGGCCAUCUGGGACAACACUGACGCUGAGGCACGAAAGCGUGGGGAGCAAACAGGAUUAGAUACCCCAGUAGUCCCUGUCUCUUAUAC